UACAGAGGGGGCAAGCGUUAUUCGGAAUUAUUGGGCGUAAAGGGCGCGUAGGCGGCCUUCUAAGUCAGACGUGAAAUCCCCCGGCUUAACCUGGGAACUGCGUCUGAUACUGGGAGGCUUGAGUAUGGGAGAGGGAUGUAGAAUUCCAGGUGUAGCGGUGAAAUGCGUAGAUAUCUGGAGGAAUACCGGUGGCGAAGGCGGCAUCCUGGACCAUUACUGACGCUGAGGCGCGAAAGCUAGGGGAGCAAACAGGG
rnacentral:rRNA from 1 species